GAAAGAAGAAAAAAUGUUUAGACCUAAACUGACCUGAACUAGAGCAGAACAACAUGAUUUAGAAGCAUUAAUUUUGCUCAAUGAUAGUCAUUAUCAUUGGAUUCCAGUUAGUUAGCAAGUCCUGUAUCAGUUCAAUGUUAUCAUAAAUAAGAUGGGGAUUGUUAUAGGAUAAAUUACCCCCUGCUCUGCUACAGAAAGAAACAAGUCAGAAUUAUCCAAAAUAGCAGCAAUUAAUUGUAUUUUGUGCUCGUUCCUAUAAAUAUUAUAGGAUUGUUUGCUUUUCUCUAUUUCACUUGUCAAUUGGAUUAAUUUUUUACUAAUUUACGCUGGUCCAUAUUUUCUAUGUGUCUUUAACUUGUAUGCAUA
rnacentral:misc_RNA from 1 species